UUCCUCUGUUUCUUCCUUUUUAAUUCAUACUAUUUAGAAUCCAACAGAUGAUAGCUGUUCGUGAUGGCCUGUAGAUGGUGUAUUUUAUUGAAAAUGCCAGACAAGUAAAAUGAUAAGUAGUCACUGGUGGAAACUUACCUUGGAAAAUAUGAUUUUUAGCUAUAGCCUCUAUGUUUUUGAAAAUGCUUCUUUUUUUUUUUUUCUAAUCUCUACUCAGAGCCACAGCAACAGAUGGCCACAUCUGGUGGGUUUGCUACUAAUCUUAAUGCCCCUUUUUCUACAUUUAUGGUGAUUAAGUUUACUUUUACAAACAUAUGCUAAGAAUAAUGGCAUGAUUUUUCAGAUUGAAAUUCUCUAGGGAAAAAAGUAUGCUUAAGAAAAAGUCUGUGAGAUCAACAGGAGAUUUAUCACCUGGAAAACCCAUUCUCUGAUUAGGCCAUUUCAUUUCCAAAGCUUUCUGGCCUGUCCACCUUCCAACCCCAACCAAUACAUGCCAAACGCCUUAGCUUGGCAGUCCAGGGACUUGACCAUCUGGUCUCAGAUGAUUUUUCAUACUUUUUCCUCUAAGUCCAAAAUUUUGUAUCCCAUUCUUUAACAAAAUGGGACUGUUUACUAGUACUUUUCCAAAGUUCUCUAAGCUCUCUUCUUUUUGCCCAUUUCCAUUUCUUUUAUCUGGCGAGGUUUUUCUCUUCUUUGCUUAACUGGAGCAUUUCAUCUCUCCUAGCUCACUGCCACCUCCUCCAGAAAGCUCUCCUGGAUUGGAUUUGCUGUCACACCUCUAGACCUCACAAGUCCUUGUCUAUUCCUUCGUUAGGAAGCUUUUCCUGUAUCUUUUACUUUUCCAAAUCAGAGAACCAUUUUCAGGCCAUUCAUUUAGAAAAUGAAUGUGUCAAAACACUUAAAAGAUGCUAAUGGUAUAUUGGAGCAAAGUAGCAGACAGGUGGCCUAUACUAGUAGAUAUAUUUUUAUUUAUCUUCCAUAGUGUUUAAAGAAAAGCCAUUCAAUUUGAAUGCCUGCAGGUUGGCAUGCACAGUUUAUUGCACCAGUCUCCCCAGCCCCAUUGCCUUCCACCUGCCAUUCACAUAUUUACAUUUGUUGCCUGAGCCCUUUUGGCACUUGAAGUUCUCAAGCUCCAUGUAGCAGUUAAAUGAAUCACUUGAUAAACCAGAUGCAGUUAAGGCUCUGUCACAGACUAGCUUGCUGUCUCAGCUUCAGAGUAAGAGUUCUAAUGGUGUCUUUGAAUGGCCUUUUGUUUUGGAGGUGGGCGUUAUGCAAAUAAACAGGUGGGCUUUUUUUGCACAUGAACUCAAAUAUAGGCACACAGAUGGCCAUGUUUCAGAGAUUCCUGGAAUGAAUUAGAGAACAAGCAUAUUUAUCUUUGAACUGAAAGAACCCCUUGCAAAACUGCCUUCAGCUUAUCUCGCGGCCUUAGAAAGAGAAGUGACACUUAGCUGCUGUCCAUCAAGAGACGAGGCUGGAGUAGGGUUGGCAACUAUAUGCAGUCCUUACAACACUCUUGUACCCAUAGUGCUCACAUUACCUAGGACAUCACCACUGAGCCCAGACAGGUCUUGUGACUCUACUCAUCACUGCGGCUCUACCAAUGAGGGAAGUCAUGGUGAGACAUAGUUGACAUCUCGUAAUAAGAAGAACUUUGGGGUGCUGCGUUAGUCAACAAUGGAAGACUUGAAUUUACUAAAGGUUAGUAGGAAGUGAAACCACGUAGGCAAAAGUACAUUAUAAGUUAGGAAAUGCUAUAAAGGCAGCUGCUGUUUCUUUAUGGUUGCUCUUUACCUAAAUGGUUUUUGAUCAUUUCAGAAUGCCUGGAAGAUAGGUGCUUGGAAGUUUUGUAACCUUGCCCAAGUCUCCUAGCUCUCAAGUGGUACCUUGAGAUCCCCACCAGCUCUGUCUGACCUUAGGCCUCUGCUCUUUGCAUGAGGUCCUGUUGGCUCCCAGAUCACAAUCUAGGCGUGUAAGUUAGCUAUUCCAACAAUGGUUUCUACUGUAAUUAGCAUUUUAUUUCAAUAUAAAGUGGGUCGUGUUCUUUCUUAUUCUCCCAGGUUCCAUACUCCUUCUAACCCAAGGCUCCUACUUUUGGGGAUGUGUGAACAAGAUUUGCUCUUGCAAAGAAAACAGGAGACAGGAAAUAGCAAAGGAGAAAGGAGAAAGGCCAGGGUCAGGUCAAGAGCUUCCCACGUCUUCUCGUCCCAGUCUGGCAUCAACCAGAUAGAAGCCUUAGGGAGGUCCCAGAAGCCAGGGGCCAUAAUCAAAAGAUCGAAAGAUAAGUGGGAUGCUGAAAAAAUUGGCAGCACGCUUGUGGCUCAGACUAACAUUGAUGAUCUUAAACUGUCUGCACAGUUCAAUAAUAUACAUGACUUUUCAUUUUGCUUCUGACGUCCUAUAACUUUAAGCAGCUUUAUGCCCAUGCCUUGGAUUCUGUACAAAGCUUAGAUAGAGUCAGAUUUCUGAUGACUGAAGGGCUUGAGUCUACAUCAGCUGUGAGGCUUGAGGAGUUCCUCUGUGGUUGCUGAAUUCCAGGAUUUAGUGAGAAGCCAACUGGAUGUGACUGGUUGAGAACCAUCGAGGCAGCUAGAUACCAAGGGUUCCAGAUUCCUUCCCAACCAAAGGAUGCUGAGGACUGACCCCCAGAAAAGAUACAAAGUCUCAGUUCUGCACUGACAUCCUGUUCCUUGAAGAAGAGCCACGAUUUCGUGGCCUUCUCUUCCCCUCACACUACUCACUGAAGAGGGUUUCAGUUAAAAAUUUCAAGGCAAAUCAUAAAAUGUUUGAGA